CUCAAUAAAAAUGAGAGCGACGGGCGAUGUGUACAUAUCCUAGAACCAAUAUCAUUCAAACAAUCUUCAACAAAUUACCACCAAAUCCAACUUCAUAUAAAAAUUCCAAUUAAUAAUCCGAAAAUUCAUAAACAUAUUGUAAUCCACCUCACACUUAAAAACAAAUUGCACCUUGACCUGAAAUAAAUCAAAAUAAUGAAACUAGAAAAUUGAAUAACCCUAAAAAAAUCCUCAUUAUAACGGCGGUAUACAAACAAAAAUUAAGAAAGGUCCAGCGCGGAUUAUCGAUUAAGGGGCAGAUUCCUCUGGAAGGAGUAGAAUACCGCCAAAUCCUUUGGGUUUCAAGAACAUAACUAAUACUACCCAGGAAAAAGAUAAUUAACAUCAAAAAUAAUA
rnacentral:rRNA from 1 species